UAUAAUUCCUGUCCCUCCUGCAUCUAUC
rnacentral:sRNA from 1 species